UCAUAAUUGAAUGACACGUGGGCUAAUGAUGAGCAAACAGAGAAUAUUGGCGCACACUCUCAGAUGAGGAUUUUUCUACAAAUAAUGGCAUGGGCAGAGAAUGGGGGGAGAGUUUUUUCUGUUAUGAAUAUUGUUAUUCUUUCUCUCAUCUUAUUCUCUCUGGGUUAUUUUCUUCUUUUUUUUUUUAUUUUUUUAUGAAAGUAACAGCACUUUUCCUUCCUUGACACAGAAUAUACUCAAUUUUUACCUUCAACAUUGUCAUUUGAGAAUUUAUAUUUCUCCAAGUACCUAACAUUGGUGCUUUCAUUGAGUCUCUACAAAUAUGGUAGAGCAUUAGACUCGGCUUCACGUUUUAGACGACAACAUCAAAUCAUUGACCGGGUCCCAAAGUUCGCUUUCAGAUUCCUAGAAUGCUCUCCGUUGGGACUUUGAUCUCCUGGAUACCUCUUUCGAUGAGCAAAAGGCCUUGCUCCGUGAAUUGGUCAGUCAACGCACUUCUUCUCAGUCUUCAAGCCCUGCACCUUCUCUAUUUUCGGCUUCUCAAAAUCCGUUGGGACAACAUAAACCAGCAUCCGUACAGCUGGCUCGAUUUUCCGGUAUCAACCCGGACCGUUGGCUUAUGCAAGCUGAUCGCUACUUCACUUUUUACAAUAUCAGAGAUGAGGACCGCGUCACUAUCACCUCAUUUUACUUCGACGAGGCUGCUUCCGAUUGGUAUGAUUGGAUGUUUCGCAACCGUCAGCUUGCUGGUUGGCACGCGUUCUCAGCAUCGCUCCUCGCCCAUUUCCGUUCUCGCGAUUUUGAAGAACCAGAAGGCCUUCUCACUAAAUUGCAUCAAACAACUUCGGUGGAUGCCUAUCGCUCUGAGUUUGAGGUAGUUACUAAUCGUGCUAUCUAUUUGCCGGCCCACUUCCUGGUCCAGUGUUUUAUUUUUGGGCUACGAUCUGACAUCAAGCAUUCCGUGCUCAUCCAUCGGCCCACCACAUUGGAUGACGCUAUGCAACUGGCCCAACUUCAUGAGAGACGUAUUAUCCUAGAGAAAUCCCCUGCUAGACCCGUUCCAACCCUCGACACCACUAAGCCUCUCCUUCCCACACCUUCCUUUAACCCCAAAGUUCACCCCACCGCCUCGCAACCUCCUACAACCCAAUCUACAGCCACUUUACCCAUUCGUCGUCUUACCCCGUCGGGGGUCGCCCAACGCCGAUCCAAAGGCUUGUGCUAUCACUGUGAUGAGAAAUAUUCCUGGGACCAUAAAUGCAAGUCUAAACCUCAACUUUUACUGCUUGAAAAUGAUUCGGAGCCCACUGAAGUUAACAACCCUUUGUUGCUUCCUCCUCCUCACGGUCCCGAUCUUGAAUUAUCUUCCGUAGAUCCAUCUUCUCUCUUGCAGUCAGCUAUAUCGUACAAUGCCCUGGCUGGGGGCUACUCUGUUUCGACACUCAGGUUUCAAGGAACAGUGUUUGGGAAACCAAGUGUUAUUAGAUGGCGGUAGCACUCAUAACUUCGUUCAGACACGCGUCGCCUCUUAUUUAAAUUUGACAGUUACUACCACUCCCAGCUUUUCUAUUUUGGUAGGUAGUGGUGAACGCCUCCCUUGCGAUGGCAUCGUUCGACAACUCCCUGUGGUUAUCCAAAAUCAAGAAAUCCUCGUUGAUUUCUUCGUUCUUCCUAUUCAAGGAUGGGACAUGGUAUUGGGAGUAGAGUGGUUAGCGACGUUGGGACCAAUACUUACUGAUUACUCUUCAUCAAUUUUUGAGUUCUCUUAUGCCGGCCAGAAGGUUCGAUGGACGGGAGAUGGGGCUCCCGCUGUUUAACCUAUACAGUUCAAUGGGCUUCGCUGCUUGACUCACAAUAAUUCUGUGGCUGAAUUUUUCAGGUUAGAUCUCGUUUCUGAGCCUAAUUCUCUAUCUGAAAUUGUGGUCCCUGAAAUUGAGGCCUUAUUGACUGAGUUUGUUGACGUGUUUUCCAAACCAAUGGGAUUACCUCCGAUACGAGACUGUGAUCACACGAUUCAUCUAGCCCCAAAUUAUGGUCCGGUGAACGUUAAGCCAUAUCGAUAUCCACAUUUUGAAAAACGGGAAAUUGAGCGGUUGGUUUCAGAAAUACUGGCUGAUGGUAUCAUCCAACCAAGUACAAGUCCUUUUUCCUCACCAGUGUUGUUGGUACGCAAGAAAGAUGGCUCGUGGCGCUUUUGUGUUGAUUACCGUGCCCUCAAUGCUAUGACUAUCAAAGACCGAUUUCUGAUUUCGUCCAUCGAUGAAUUAUUCGAUGAACUUCAUUGGGCUAUGUAUUUCUCCAAACUCGAUUUGUUGGCUGGAUUCCAUCAAAUUUGAGUUAAGGCCGGGGAUGAAAGCAAGACUGCCUUUAGGACUCAUGACGGGCAUUAUGAGUUCCUCGUCAUGCCGUUUGGGCUCACAAACUCGCCAUCUACAUUUCAAAGUCUUAUGAAUUCAGUUUUUCGUCCGUACCUCCGCAAGUUUGUGUUGGUUUUCUUUGACAACAUUUUGAUCUAUAGUCCGGAUUGGGAAACCCAUUUAGAACAUAUCCGGGUUGUUUUUCAUCUCCUCCGCGAACACCAGUUAGUGGCGAAACGUUCUAAAUGUCUAUUUGGUCAUACAAGCAUUGGGUAUUUAGGACAUAUUGUUUCUCGGUAAGGAGUUCAGGUGGAUCCUGAUAAAAUUCAAGCCAUCCAAUCAUGGCCUAUUCCCCGCACCGUCAAGGCUGUCCGUGGUUUUCUCGGCUUGGCCGGGUAUUACCGCCGCUUUAUCCGUCACUUUGCGGCCAUUACCUGUCCCUUGACUGACCUACUGCGAACAGAUGCCUUCCAAUGGACUCCCUUAGCCCACACGGCCUUUGAGCAUUUAAAACAGCUACUUAGUGAAGCUCCUAUUCUUGCAUUACCUGAUUUCAGCAAACCAUUUGUGGUGAAAAUAGAUGCUUCGGGUACUGGCAUCGGUGCCAUCCUUUCACAAGGUGGUCACCCUAUUGCAUAUUACAGCCACCAACUCAGCCCUCGAUUGCAACAAUCCUCCACAUAGCAAAGGGAGAUGUAUGCUAUUACGCAAGCCAUUUCUAAAUGGCGGUAGUGUCUUUUGGGUAAUCGAUUUACGAUUAUUACUGAUCAGCAAUCAUUAAAGAGUCUUACCUCUCAAGUAAUUCAAACACCGGAUUAACAGAAGUGGUUGGGCAAAUUGAUUGGCUAUGACUUCGACAUCGUUUACCGUCCAGGCCGAAUCAACACCGCAGCAGAUGCCUUGUCCAGAAUUCCUGCUACCCAAUUAUUGGCCCUUUCUCAUGUUCAGUUUUCUAUAGUUGAUUAGUUCUGAGAGGCCAAUGCUGUGCAUCUUGAGUUGCUUGCUUUGCAGCAACAUCUAGCCACUGAUCCAACUUCUCUACCGGGAUUUUUGUUCAAAGACAAGCUACUGUUCUUUAACUCUCGACUGGUGCUACCUUCUGAUUCCCCUCUUUGCACUAGUCUAUUAACGGAGUUCCAUUCGCCCCCUGUUGGCGGCCACUCAGGCAUCACCCGUACGUUUCAUCGCCUUACUACAAAUUUUUAUUGAAAGAAUAUGCGUCGAGAUGUCACCCAAUUCGUUCGCUAUUGCCAGAUUUGUCAACAGAUGAAGUCUGCUACAGUUUCUCCAGCUGGCCUCCUUCAACCUCUUCCAAUUCCGAUUUUGGUAUUUGAAAAUAUUUCCAUGGACUUUAUCACUGGGCUCCCACCUUCAAAGGGGAAAACCGUGGUUAUGGUGGUCGUUGAUCGACUUUCAAAAUAUGGGCAUUUUGUAGGUCUGCCAACUCAUUUUUCCAGUCAAAUAGUUUCUUCUGCCUUUGUGCAAGAAGUAGUGAGGUUACACGGCAUUCCUACGGAGAUUGUCUCGGACCGUGAUCCUCAUCUCUUCAGUAACUUCUGGAAAGAAGUACAUAGGCUCCAAGGCACGACACUAAGUAUGAGCACCGCAUACCACCUACAGACUGACGGCCAAACAGAGGCUCUCAACCGAUGCUUGGAAAUGUAUUUGUGUUGCUAUGCCUCGGACCACCCUACCUCUUGGAUGUUAUUUUUACCUUGGGCCGAAUAUUGGUACAACACCUCAUACCAAACGGCUGCGCAAAUGAUACCUUUUGAAGUGUUGUAUGGUCGCCCUCCACCUACAAUAGCACGGUAUGUUAAGGAUGACAGCGGUCACCCUCUCGUUGAUGCUCAGUUACUCGAACGAGACCAUGUUUUACAACUGCUCAAAAUAAAUUUAGCCCAAGCUCAGGCUCGGAUGAAGUUCUAUGCUGAUAAACAUCACCGAGAUAUCAGUUUCAAUGUCGGGGACUGGUUAUAUGUUAAAUUGCAACCUUAUCGACAAUCUUCUAUACGGUUGCAGCGCCAUUCAAAGCUCGGUCGCAGAUAUUUUGGUCCAUAUCAGGUCCUCAAACGUGUUGGUCCAGUCGCAUAUGAGCUCGAUCUGCCUUCUACGGCUCGUAUCCAUCCCGUAUUUCAUGUGUCUAUGCUCAAGAAAUGCCUCGGACACCCUGACCAGCAAGUUACUCCUUUGGAUUUGGUCGAUUCCACCAGCUCUAUUAACUUGUACCCCAUUGUAGUCUUAGAUCGUAGGCAAGUACAACGAGGGUCUGCCACCGUAAAACAAUGCUUAAUCCAAUGGAAUGGCCCUACCAUUGACGAUGCUACUUGGGAAGAUAACGAGAAACUGCACCAGCUUUACCCUGCUUUCCACCUUGAGGACAAGGUUCAUCUCGAUGAGGAGGGUAUUGUUCUGAACCCAAAUGCUGCUGAGGGCCCUGCUGGAGAGUACACAGCCCAAAGGAACCAAGAGUUGAGAAGAAGCUCACGCAAGAGGUAUUUGCCUAGGCAAUAUGCUGACUUCAUAACUGAAUGACACGUGGGCUAAUGAUGAGCAAACAGAGAAUAUUGGCGCACACUCUCAGAUGAGGAUUUUUCUACAAAUAAUGGCAUGGGCAGAGAAUGGGGGGAGAGUUUUUUCUGUUAUGAAUAUUGUUAUUCUUUCUCUCAUCUUAUUCUCUCUGGGUUAUUUUCUUCUUUCUUUUAUUUUUCCAUGAAAGUAACAACACUUUUCCUUCCUUGACACAGAAUAUACUCAAUUUUUAC
rnacentral:lncRNA from 1 species